AUUGAACGCUGGCGGCAGGCUUAACACAUGCAAGUCGAGCGGGGUGAUGGUGCUUGCACUAUCACUUAGCGGCGGACGGGUGAGUAAUGCUUAGGAAUCUGCCUAUUAGUGGGGGACAACAUCUCGAAAGGGAUGCUAAUACCGCAUACGUCCUACGGGAGAAAGCAGGGGAUCACUUGUGACCUUGCGCUAAUAGAUGAGCCUAAGUCGGAUUAGCUAGUUGGUGGGGUAAAGGCCUACCAAGGCGACGAUCUGUAGCGGGUCUGAGAGGAUGGUCCGCCAAACUGGGACUGAGACACGGCCCAGGCUCCUACGGGAGGGAGCAGUUGGGAAUAUUGGGCAAUGGGGGGAACCCUGAUCCAGCCAAUCCGGGUGUGGGAAGAAGGCCUUAUGGUUGUAAAGCACUUUAAGCGAGGAGGAGGCUCUUUUGGUUAAUACCCAAGAUGAGUGGACGUUACUCGCAGAAUAAGCACCGGCUAACUCUGUGCCAGCCGCCGCAGUAA
rnacentral:rRNA from 1 species